UAUGGAGUGAGGCCACUGUUGUGGGGGAUCCCCUAACCUUCGAUCGACAAGUCUUCGGUUUCUAACUGAUAUUCUAGUUUGUAUUAUUUUUGGGUUUUCUCAUUUGGUUUGAUCAAUAUUUUCCAUUUAAUUCAUAGUAAAGUUCUAACACUCACUCCAGCAAAGUUCUGGAAUCCUGCUUACCCACGAUUGAUAGUUCACAAUUUUUCAUCAUGCGAAUGUUGUUCCCUUACUUGUGUUCGGGUACUCCCGUAGUGUGUGUACCAGGUCAGGGCAUAAAUUUCUUCUGAUUUUCUAUAUUAUAGUUCUAUUACGAGUUCGAGGACUUUUGUGUUAGCCAAGUGAAUGUACCCCCUGCCCAUAGGCGUCAAUCCCUUUAUACAACUUGAUGUAAAGUAGGCGAACAAAAUUAGUUACCUCCAUAUUGGUACACACACUUCUGGAGCGCCUAUGUUUGUUUAUUUGCCAAGAUAUUCCUGAAACAUCUGAAUCUGAGCUAGCACAGGGCUUCCAAAACUUUUCUUGCCUGCGUUUUAGACACGUUUACUAAAUGGAUUCUGUUUUUGAUCAUAUUGACUUAUCUAGUCCAAGUCUCGCUUAGAAACAAAUUUCUGUCAUUUCGGAAGUGAUGUUCAUGAAUAUACCAAUUCGAAACUCAAAUUUUCAUAGAUUUCCUUUAUAAUGGUUUUUAUUACAAUUCAAUAUAACACAUGCAAAAUCCAUGAAAAUAGCUACUUACAUAAGAAAAAGUAAAAUUUCGAAUUUUCCUCGUUCUAUCACAAUAUGAUUGAAGAUUACCCAUGCGAAAUGUCCCUAAACAACAGUUAUACGGCAUAAAACGGUGGUUCUUAAACUAUUUAAGCCGUGCCACCUUUUUAGUUUAGAAUUUGUCAAGUCUCGCGCCCCACAUCAAAAAUAUCUAACUAACAAUAAACUGCAAAUAACAGACAGUAAGGCGAAAUUAUGUUUUGUUCAGAAAAUACAGGGAAGUUGUUUACGCCCCUCUUGUGGGGCGCGCCCCUCCGGUUGAGAACAACUGGCAUAAAAAAGGUAUCUGGGGUACCAGCCCUGUGCUAGACGUACCUUCAUUAUCGUAUUAUUAUUGCACAGUAUACCUUUCUACCUUUUCAUUUAUUUUUCGUGAAGUUCUUUUGUUAUUAUACUUUUAUUACUCGAAUCCAUCUGCUUAUUUUUUUUAUUUUUUGACAGCAAAUGUACUUUAAAAUAAGAUACACAGCUAGCUUGUAUUAAGUCCAUAGAUGGAUUUUCAAGGGUAUGUACCUUCACACCAAAAUAUUGUAUAUGGAUAUCCCUAAUAUAUGGUAAUAUCGUCCUUUUUAUACCUGUACAAGAUAAUCCAUUUGAAUAUCUCAAAUGUUAUCCCAGGUUCUGGCAAAUUAUACCAAAAAUUUUGGACCUCCUGACGUAUGUGCACCAAGAUGGCGCAAAACCUGAACUCAGGUGUUCAUUAUUACGUUUGUUGGCCCUUUCAGGUGCAUUAAAUGAAGUAACUUGGCCUCUGAUUAAAAUAAACAAACCUGGUUAAAGUAUUGAGAAGUAACUUCAUAUCAAAAUUAAAAUGAGACUUUAUGUACACUCUAUAUAUUCGUAUCAAUUUACCCUUUUAAAUUGGAAUGACUUAAACAUCAUUUUACAUCUGUCAAAUUUUGCUCCAAAUGAAGUAGUUCACUCAGCUGAUUUGAAAAAAAAAACUAUUUUAUUUCCAGACUAAUACCAAUUUCUCAGAUUGCCAAAAUAGACGAAGAUGCCCACGACCAUCCAUCUAUGACUUAUAUUCUGUUCAAUGUCUCUCUUUUAUUGUUGGUAUAUGUUAGCCUCAUGUGGUUUACAGACUUUUCACCCACAGAAGUUUAAAACCACAAACUUCCCGGGCCAUUAGGUGGCACAAGACUGGAGUUAUGAGAUUAAUUUGUGGUUGCUAAGAAGUUUGCCUCAAAAAUGCUAAUGUACAAAUACAUGUGGAAUUCGCUCCGGAAGUAUUUGUACCAAGAUGGCGCACAACCUGAACAGUCCUAUAACCUGGUAGACAUACUAUGUUCAGGUUGUGCGCCAUCUUGAUAUGAAUACUUAACAGGAGCACCAUGGAAUCGUAGGAAAUUUCAGAGUGGGGUCACUGGUGCUUGCGGGUUAUCAUUUUUUGUUACUACCAUGGUUACUCAAACUCAAACAGUCUUAUGCCACCAUGUGGUUAAAAAAUUGAAUGUAGAUCAAAUUUUACUCUCUGGCGCUAUCUACUCAAGUGUUUUAUAUAUUCUUAUGUACAAGCUUGUAUACUUUUGCUUUCCAUUUCAUCAAUGCCAAACCUCUGUCUGGGAUUUCUUUUUCAAUUUUUCUCUAGAUUGAGUGAGAGUAUUUUUUGUUUGAAAAAGUGGUGUAUACAACCACCUCUUUGUUUAAAGAUUUUAGUUGAAGUUAGUAUUGGCUUCAAAAAAAAUUAAGAUACCUCUACAGAAUCUACAUCAAAAACAGGCAUGGCAGUACUUUAUAAACACCUUUACAACAGUGAGACAUCUAAGUGAGAUUCUUCAUCUGGACUUACGAGUCACGGCCAGGGUUUGUCGUGUUUUCACUGGAGCCGGAGUCGUAUUCUCAAACUGCCGUAGUUGAAGCCAAAAUUUUUUUUAUCCAGAAGCUGAAAUUUUUCUUAACCCAAUGUCAGGACUAUGCCUGAAUAUAACUGUGGAGUCCUAGUCAAUUGCAAAUUAUCUCCGACUCCUCGGCCUAAAGUAUGAAAGGAUUCCCCGAAACGCAAUCUGCUAUGUUUCACCUCAUUUGACUUAUUUAUCCUCUGAAAUAAAAUUCUUUAAAACACAA